GCCGGCAGCGCCCGAGCCAGGCUGUGCCCCAGUUUGUGUCCAAUCAGAGAGUGAAGUGCGUGCACCGAGCGGGGCGGCAAUGCGUAAACAAGCCCCGGGAAACUCCUCCGCCCCCCGCUCUCUCCUCCGCGCCGCGCCCGCCCGCUCCCCGCAGCCUUCCCCCGCCGCCCGCCAACAACUCCGGGGAGGCGCGCGCUCCCGCCGCCCAACCGCCUCAGCCGCCCUCCCCUCCCCCCGCCCGCCCAGCCGGCGCCGCCCGCGCUGCCACACGCACCCCACUCCCGCACCCGCCCGCGGGUGCCUGUGGCCUCUCGAGGGGGAAGCACAAGGAACCGAUCAAAACUCUGGGUAGAAGAUACAUUUCAGGAAAAGAAGAAAUUUGCGUACACGGAAAAGAAAUCACACAGAAGGAUUGUGGAGAAGAAUCUAGAGUGCAAGUUCUGUUUGUGUCCACUGCCUCUUCUGUCAUUGGACAAUAUUGAGAAGCUUUUGCUCUGCCUUUCCCCAUCAG